rnacentral:rRNA from 1 species
UGCCAGCCGCCGCGGUAAUACGGAGGGUGCAAGCGUUGUUCGGAAUUAUUGGGCGUAAAGCGCGUGUAGGCGGUUCGUUAAGUCUGAUGUGAAAGCCCGGGGCUCAACCCCGGAAGUGCAUUGGAAACUGGCGAACUUGAGUACGGGAGAGGAAAGUGGAAUUCCGAGUGUAGGGGUGAAAUCCGUAGAUAUCUGGAGGAACAUCGGUGGCGAAGGCGACUGGCUGGCUGUUGAUUGACGCUGAGGCACGAAAGCGUGGGUAGCAAACAGGAUUAGAUA